CAAAUUAUGGCGAACCUCGCGUUUCGCGAGGUCUUGCGUCCAUUUUUAUAUUUAAAACAUCUCCCAUUCUUUAAAAAUAUUUAUCUAAUGAUAAAAAUAAAAAGA
rnacentral:misc_RNA from 1 species